UUAACUUUUAUCAUAAAACUUAAAAGUACUUAUUUCCCCCCUCUUUCUAAAGCCAAUGAAGGAGGUUGUAAGAUCUCGCACCCCCAUGAAAGAGCCAACAACUGUUGAAAUCUGGACUCAUCCUCAACCACAGUCCCAGCGACGUGUCACAUUUCACCUACCAGAAGGCUCUCAGGAAAGCAGCAGUGAUGGUGGACUAGGAGAUCAUGAUGCAGGCAGCCUUCCCAGCACAUCCCAUGCUCUGCUCCUUGGCUAUCCUCAGGAGGAGUACUUUGAUCAUGCUGCACCCAACAACCGUACUGAAGGAGAUGGCAACUCUGAUCCUGAAUCUACUUUCAUUCCUGGAUUAAAGAAAGCUGCAGAAAUAACUGUGCAACCAACUGUGGAAGAGGCCUCUGACAACUGCACUCAAGAAUGUCUCAUCUUGGGCCAUUCUGAUGCCUGCUGGAUGCCAGCUUCUCUGACCCAUUCCAGCCCUUCACAGGCACAGACCUCUGCUCUAUGCCACAGCCCACCUCUGACACAGGCAUCUGCUCACCGUCGCAGCCCUUCAGUGACACAGACGAUUGCUCUCUGCCACAGUCCUCCAGUGACCCAAGUUAUCGCUCUGUGCCACAGUCCUCCACCAGUACAGGCCUCUGCUCUCCACCACAGUCCUCCUCUAGCACAGGCCACUGGACUUCACCACAACCCACCCCCCACACAGGCCUCAGCCCUCUCUUACAGCCCUCCCUUGGCUCAGGCUACUGCAAUUCGCCGCAGCCCGCCUCUGCCACAGGCUGCCUCUCUCCACCGCAGUCAAGUCCAGACACCAAUGGGUUUGCAGCAAGGUUGGGUGCAAGGUGCUGGAGCUGAUGGACUGCAUACUCUUGAUCAGGGAGUGCAAGGUAGUGCUAGAUCUCAGUUUUACACUAUGUCUGAAAGACUUCAUCCCAAUGAUGAUUCAAUUAAAGUCAUUCCCUUGACAACCUUCACACCAGGCCAACAGGCCAGACCCUCUAGGGGUGAUUCCCCCAUUAUGGAAGAACAUCCCUUGUAAAGUUAAACUAACUAUUUCACAUUUUCAGACAGAUGUAUAUAUUCAAAGUUGAAGAUCCAAUUUCAAGGAAUAUUCCAAAUUGCUAGGUUUGUAAAUAGCUCUGUAAAUAGAAACAGAUACCAGAAAAAGACUAGAGCUAGACCCUUAGUCAAAAGUUAAAAAAUAAAUUUAAAAUUUUUAAUUGAGAAUGUGU
rnacentral:lncRNA from 1 species